rnacentral:tRNA from 1 species
GAUUGUAUGGCUUAGUUGGCCAGAGUGCUUGGACGGUUUCCCAGAGGCGCAGGUUCAAUUCCCACUAUGUACA